CACCAUCGCGUAAACUCAUCCCCUCUCGACACCACCACAAUUCGCCACCCUCUGUUCUUAUAUUUUCGAACCGCACAAGACCUUUCUUGACACCCACACCACAACAACCUCGUGUCGCCACCGAAAUCCAUCGUCGGAGGUUCGGGACUCACCGGAGCACAAGCAGAAACAAGUAUCAUCGCCGGAGCCGUCCGAAGUUACGUCGAAGAUUGCUUCAAACUCUGUUUUCGGUUACUCGCUCCUGUUCGUUCUUUUGGAUUUUCAAUCUUACUCGUACGUUUUUACAAGAAAUCGCAACGCAAUCACUGUUGAUUGUUCAAGAUUCAAGAAAACAAGUUAGGAUGGCAUUAGAAACCCAUUUUAGUAAUUAAUUAAUGUUAAAUUUAUGUUUGAUAUUUGAGACUUUUGUUAUGUUGUUUUGA
rnacentral:lncRNA from 1 species